GUGGAGAUAUAAAGAAUUUAACCUGCCCCUGAUUUCUUAAAAAUUAAAGGGCCGCAGUAUUAUAACUGUGCAAAGGUAGCAUAAUCAUUAGGUUUUUAAUUGAAAUCUUGUAUGAAUGGUUGGACAAAAGAAAAACUCUCUUUAAAUUAAUUUUGAAUUUAACUUUUAAGUGAAAAGGCUUAAAUAAUCUAAGGGGACGAUAAGACCCUAUAAAACUUUAUAUUAUAAUUAUAUUUAAUUAAUUUUAUAAAAUAAAAAUUUAAUUUAAUUAUUUAUUAUGUUGGGGAGACAUGGGUAAAAUAAUGUUUUAACUGCUUAUAAAAUAUACAAUUAUAAUUGAAUAGUAAGAGAUCCUUUAUUAAGAUUAAAAGAUUAAGUUACUUUAGGGAUAACAGCGUAAUUUCUUUUGAGAGUUCUUAUCGAAAAAGUAGGUUGCGACCUCGAUGUUGAAUUAAAAUAUCUAUAUAGUGCAGAAAUUAUAUUAGAAGGUCUGUUCGACCUUUAA
rnacentral:rRNA from 1 species